GCUCCAGUGGCAUAGUGGUUAGAGCGUCCGCCUCAGAUGCAGUAAGUCGUGGGUUCGAUCCCCGGUCGAGUCA